UGGAUUGAAUGCUUCAGAAUU
rnacentral:piRNA from 1 species